AGAACGAACGCUGGCGGCAGGCCUAACACAUGCAAGUCGAACGCUCCGCAAGGAGAGUGGCAGACGGGUGAGUAACGCGUGGGAAUUUCCCCCAAGGUUCGGAAUAACUGAGGGAAACUUCAGCUAAUACCGAAUGGUACCGAGAGGUUAAAGAUUUAUCGCCUUGGGAUGAGCCCGCGUUGGAUUAGCUAGUUGGUGAGGUAACGGCUCACCAAGGCUUUGAUCCAUAGCUGGUCUGAGAGGACGACCAGCCACACUGGGACUGAGACACGGCCCAGACUCCUACGGGAGGCAGCAGUGGGGAAUCUUGGACAAUGGGCGCAAGCCUGAUCCAGCCAUGCCGCGUGGGCGAUGAAGGUCUUCGGAUUGUAAAGCCUUUUGGCGGGACGAUAAUGACGGUACCCGCAGAAUAAGCUCCGGCUAACUCGUGCCAGCAGCCG
rnacentral:rRNA from 1 species